rnacentral:lncRNA from 1 species
GCCUGUGAAAGACUUUUUGCUGUACUUGCUAUUGGGCAAAAUCCUGUCUGCUACCUGGUAUUCAUGUAGAGUAAACUGCAAUGUGGAAACAGAUGGUAUGACCAAGUGGGAGAGAGACUCUGUCUGCAAAACUGGGAGAGCUUCACUCUGACUGGGGGUGGAAGAGGAAUGAACAAGUCCACCCCAGCGUAAAAAUAAGAUGAAAAUAUAAAAGAAUGUCAGUGUUGAAGGUUACUCCUUUUGAUUUUGCCAAUAUCCCGGAACCAUGUGAGCACAUGAACAUUCCAAAGAAGAAGAUACCUCCAGGUUCUUCAGAUGAGUCUCACUCUGUUGCCCAGGCUGGAAUACACUGGCACCGUCUCAGCUCACUGCAACCUCCGACUCCCUGGUUCAAGCGAUUCUCCUGCCUCAGCCUCCCAAGUAGCUGGGAUUACAGAUAAGAAUAUGGAAUGCUCACUCCACAACAUUGUUUGUGAAAAUCUUCAGAUUUAUUUUAUUGAACAAGGCUAUAAAAGUAUUUACAGAGGAGAGGGAAAGAGAGCACAGUGGAGAGAUGCCUUGGGAGAGAGCUGUUACUGGCCAUGGUGUCAUUCUUCUUCCACAGGGAGAAGCAGAUCCAAACUGAGAAGGGAGAAGAUGUGAUAGUUGAUAUCACAACAAGCUUGAGUUUUGAUUAAUAUCUUGGACAGGACAUUCUAUGUUCCAAAUAGAGAUUGUGUGUUACAAAGUGACUGCAGGACCAAAAAUGAGUAGCAAAUUCAUGAACCUCUUAGAUUUUUUUAAUUUAGGACAUGAUGAGAUUACUGCCAGUGACUCAACUUUUAAAAUACAAGGAAUAACUAAAUAAAUAAAGUAAAAUUGCACUUUUAAUUGUAUUUUGAAGACAUCAUGAGCUGUGAUUCAUUCACUUCAUCUCAUAGAACUUCUGCUGGUGAUAAUUA